GACGAACGCUGGCGGUGUGCUUAACACAUGCAAGUCGAACGGUAAGGCCCUUUCGGGGGUACACGAGUGGCGAACGGGUGAGUAACACGUGAGUAACCUGCCCUCAUCUCUGGGAUAACAGUCGGAAACGGUUGCUAAUACUGGAUAUGAGCUUGCAAGGCAUCUUGUGGGUUGGAAAGAUUUUUUUUGGUUGGGGAUGGACUCGCGGCCCAUCAGCUUGUUGGUGAGGUAGUGGCUCACCAAGGCUUCGACGGGUAGCCGGCCUGAGAGGGCGACCGGCCACAUUGGGACUGAGAUACGGCCCAAACUCCUACGGGAGGCAGCAGUGGGGAAUAUUGCACAAUGGACGGAAGUCUGAUGCAGCAACGCCGCGUGCGGGAUGACGGCCUUCGGGUUGUAAACCGCUUUCGAUUGUGACGAAGCUUUUUUGUGACGGUAGCAGUAGAAGAAGCACCGGCUAACUACGUG
rnacentral:rRNA from 1 species